UAGGGUUUAGUUUAUUAAAAAUUUUAACUUGUCAAGUUAAAGUAAGGAUUUCCUAGCUCUAA
rnacentral:tRNA from 1 species